rnacentral:rRNA from 1 species
UGCCGCGUGAGUGAUGAAGGCCUUCGGGUUGUAAAGCUCUUUUGCCCGGGAUGAUAAUGACGGUACCGGGAGAAUAAACUCCGGCUAACUCCGUGCCAGCAGCCGCGGUAAUACGGACGGAGCUAGCGUUGUUCGGAAUUACUGGGCGUAAAGCGCACGUAGGCGGCUUUGUAAGUUAGAGGUGAAAGCCUGGAGCUCAACUCCCCAAUUGCCUUUAAGACUGCAUCGCUUGAAUCCAGGAGAGGUGAGUGGAAUUCCAAGUGUGGAGGUGAAAUUCAUAGAUCUUCUGAAGAACACCACUGGCGAAGGCGGCUCACAUGACUGGUACUGACGCUGAGGUGCGAAAGCGUGGGGAGCAAACCGGAUUAGAUACCCUGGUAUGCCACGCCGUAAACGAUGAUAACUAGCUGUCCGGGGACUUGGUCUUUGGGUGGCGCAUCUCACGCAUUAAGUUAUCCGCCUGGGGAGUACGGCCGCAAGGUUAAAACUUAAAUGAAUUGACGGGGGCCUGCACAAGCGGUGGAGCAUGUGGUUUAAUUCUAAAUCAACGCGCAAAACCUUACCAGCGUUUGACAUGUGCCGGACAAUCUCUGGCAGACAGAUCUCUUCCCUUCCGGGACU